UUAGGGUGCCUGGAAUACUGGUCUACUCAGGAACAAGGGAAAAUCAAAACGGGACAGUCUCUGCCAAUAUCUCUAACAAUCAGAACCCACAAUUUCCCAAGAUUACAUCGUAUGAAGAAAAUUGUCUCCAAUGUCGAGCUGCUACAUUUCCCGCUUGAUGGAGUCUGCAUUGCCAGCGAGAGGAGGUUUUACAGAAUUUUGAGAUGCAUUCACAAGACUCCCUGAAUGCCAUUUCAGGCAUUGCUCUGAAAAUUUCCCCAAAGUUCCUGUUUUGAAGAUCUCUGACGGAAACAAUGGGAUACUGGGAACAGAAGAAAUAAAACAAGGGAUUGGCAGAACACACUUUGGAACAGUUGACGCCCAUCAACCAGGUCAUAUCUGAACAAAAUAAUGAGAUCCUGCUAUUAAAGAACCUGUAUGACAGAUUCUGAUUGUCUAGUCCUGCUAUAUUUCCUUAGGUAGACCACUAGAUCUUAGAAUGCUUUGAGGAAAAGUUGCAUGGCAUGUUCUAUCUGAGAAUUUCCUGAAGACCAGCCCAAAGAGGUCUCUGGAGAGUACUACUUUGGGACUUCUUGGUCAAAAGAAAGUUAAUUAAGGGGCCAUUUCCCAUAAGGUGUUUUGCAUACAGACUGCAGUCCUCUGGAUGUACAAGGAACACCUCUAUAGACGGCAGAUGAGAACUGAAUUCAAGGGGCAUAAGCUGACCGUCCACUUGAGCCUUUUGUAAAAUGGAAAUUUAGCUAGAGCUAGACAACAUUUUUAUUUUUAAUUGAAAGGUAUUUUCAGUGAAAAAUGGACUUUCGAUAAAAGAAAUGUUCACAAUAAAAUGUAGGUUUUCCUUGACAUAAGAACAUAAGAAUCAUAGAAU